CGGCCAAGCCUGCAGGCUGCUGGUUGUUUUCAACCCCAGAGGGGAAACUGAGACUCAGAAGCAGGUUUACGGCUUUCCCUUUGAGACUGGAGUUCGAGAAGGGAAAACGAAGAGCUGAGGGUAAAGCGGUAUUAAAGAAAGUAGCAUAGUCUCAGGAGGAGGAACCCGCUGACCUGCAAAUCAUCGGCCUCUAUAAAUAACUUCCAGAAGAUCCACAGAGAUCUGUGGGCACUGAGACUGGAUGAAAGAGAAAGUUCAUGAAGAAAAAUAGAGUGGAGAAAACAAGGGCUGAACUUUCCAGAAUAAGGGAUCAGAAGGAAAGUGACCAUAAUUUUUCCAACAACAUUAUGCUUAUCUUUUCUAUUUUCUCUUCUAAUACGUUCAGAACAGAUUAAUUGCAAUUUUCACAAUAACUCUCCACCUGGCAGCUGUUUAGUAGAGUGAUUUCAGGCUCUGAGUAUAUGAGGAAGGUAGGUGAAAUGGGACAGUCUUAUCCCCUCAAUCCAAUCUCCUCUUCCAAAAAAUUAAGUAACAUUGUAAUUGGUUCAAAACUGGGUUUUUACUAGUUACCUUGUCAACAUUGGCAUAACACUAUUGGACUUAUUAAUCCACACCUUUCCUUCUGUCUAUCUGUCACAAGGUUCAUAUGAUCCUCUAUUACUGUGUUUUUCUAUAACAACAACAGGAUUCUUAACAAAAGGGAAAGCAUUAGAAAAAUCAAUUUAUUUUUAAAUGAGGAACUUUAAUUAGUAUAUCUUUUACUAUUGCCAGAAUUACGACAUAUUUUUGACCGCGGUUGUACAAAUCUUCAGGAAAUUCAGAAAGGCCUUUGAAUUUAACUUUAUCAUAAGUGAAGUCUUUGAUGUCUUCCAUGUAAUUGUUAUCAGUGAAGUGAAUAUCCUAAAAGACAAUUGCAUAUUUCAGUAAUCAAUAGUAACUACGUGAGAUUUAAAAUAUUCAGCAUCACAUAUGCAUUUCGUAGUUUUGGAUUCAUGAAAAAAUAUAUAUUUCUUUGAAAUAACUUUUAAUAUAAAUCAAUUAUAGCAUCAAUAUGUUCUCUAACUGAAGGUUUCAAAAUUUUAAUAUUGCUGUAUCUUAUCUUUUGAUUCACAGGAUGGUAUAAACAUUACUCCAGAGAGUUAAAAUAAUUGUAACUGCAUUAGAAAAACAUAUAUUGUGGGCUUUGGUAUUUUCAUAUGAGUCAUACAGAAACAUGUAACAUUGUAUUUUAUCAAAGUAUAAUGACUUUUCUUUAUGUUGCUCCUCAUAAAAAACAAGGCCAUAAAAACCAUGAUAAAAUAUUGGCUUAUUAUCUAUCAAAUAAAAUCAUUUUACAUACAAAUAUGAAGCAUAUACACAAUGUAAACACAAAUAUUUUUAUGUACCUAUGAAGAAAUAAUGUUGACAUUAGUUAUUUUUGAGAUAAUUAAGUGUUUGAGAAAGCAUUUAGUCACUGAACUUAUGAAAGAAACACCUCCUUCCCAGUUUCUAG
rnacentral:lncRNA from 1 species